AAUAAUUUAAAAGAUUUAAUCAGUUUAGAGAAGAGAGAAGAGAAGAUCAAUCAGUAGACCAUAAUCCUUCUACUGACUUCACCAAGUCAUUGAAUAGGGUUAGGUCAUGCUGAUUAAUCUGGCACCUAGAUCAGUCACACUGAUCAACCUUAAUGGAAUGGGCUAACUUGAAUAACUUAAUAAUCUAAUCAAAACCUAAUUCACCAAAUUGACUAGAUAAGUA
rnacentral:lncRNA from 1 species